rnacentral:misc_RNA from 1 species
UCCCAACAGAGUUGGGCAGUUCCCAGUGACACUUAUAACACGGGGUAAGGGUUGCGCUCGUUAAUCAACUUAAUGAAACAUCUCAAGACACGAGCUGACGACAACCAUGCAGCACCUGUUCUCACGUCCUUGAGAGAGGGCCAACCUUUCGGCUGGCUUGCGUGAAAAUUUCAAGCCCUGGUAAGGUUCCUCGCUUGUCAUCGAAUUAAACCAUACGCUCCACCGCUUGUGCGAGUCCCCGUCUAUUCCUUUGAGUUUUAGUCUUGCGACCGUACUUCCCAGGCGGCCUGCUUAACGCGUUAGCUUCGCCACUCCGAGGGUCGAUACUCGAAACAGCUAGCAGGCAUCGUUUAGGGCGUGGACUA